GAGAAAGCAUUGAAGGAGAGAGUAUAAAAGCAAGAGGCUGGUUUAGCGAGUCAGGACGUGGUGAGAGCCUGAUGCAGUUAGCUUUUAGAAAAUCACUCUUGAGUUGUCAUUAUGAAAUAGUAGUAAUAAUAAUGACCGGUUUAUUCCCGUUAUGGAUAUCGAGUGAAUAUGGCAGUUUCCCAUAUUUAUAAGGGUGGUACCGCGAGUCUUCUCGUCCCUUGA
rnacentral:ncRNA from 1 species